GCCGGCGUGGGCCGCCCGCUUCCCUCCCGCGCCCUCCGCCCGGCUACCCGCUAGGCUGGGCGCGGCUCUUCCCGCGCGCGGGGCCCCUGCGCCCAGUUCCCACAGCUCGCCGAGUCCCCGCCGUGGAGACCUCAGGCGCCGCCAAGGGUGCUCUGGAAAACGUAGAGCUCUUAAGAGGGAACUAAAGGAGUCUUGACUGUCAAGCUGGUUGUGGGGGAAGAAUCUGGAAAUUCGCCGUGGGAUUCCAACCUUCAGGUCAUGGUGUUUAAGGUAGAACGGUGAAGAAAGCAAAGUGGGCCUUUGCGGCUCAGCCUCUGUCGUGAUUGUUCUGCUUCGGGCAUAAGUCAACGCCGGCAGGUGCUGAGGCUGCCCACGUCGCUGACAGGCACAGCGCGGCUGAGAGUGCCAGCGCUUCAGUUUUCAUUUCUGGUGCUGGAACAGCAACAGUGAUGGCAACGGACACGUCUGAGCGGCUGUUGGGUUCCAGUCUGUGAGGACUUUACUCACAUUAUCCCAGCCCUCACCGGAGAAGUGUAAAGUGGCACAGGUUCGAUCCUCUCUGCUCUGUAGCGCGGGCUCUGAGGCUUGGUCAGGGUCGCACAGCAGGUGACUGGCAUGGCUGGACCUAGAAUCCAGGUCUAGCUGAUUCUAAAUCCUGAGCCCUUAACCACGGCCCCGUCCUUGCCUGGAUCCUGCAGCGGGGUUUGCAAACUGGCAGCCUGGACCCAGAUGUUUAGUCAUGUCAAACUUAACAAAAACCUUCAGCCAAUUCUCGGACAUCGGAAGAUUUCCAAGUUGAAGAUCUAGUGACACUGGGUCUCUGUUUUCUCGUAGCAGCAUCAUGAUUAGCAGCUGACCCUUGACAUGGGGGAUGUCUACUUUGGUUGACUGGAUUCUCCACCACUCCCAAAUAUCUUCACAGCAUGGAGACCAGGGUCAUUGCAUUUAUUAUAUAUGUACUGGUGUUUUACUUAUAGUGGAUAAAUAUUUCUUGUUCCCAGGUCUGUAUUUGUGGACAUCAGCCUUCAAGAUGGCCCCUGGAAUACUACUCAGCCAUUAAAAAUAAUAAAAUAAUGCCACUUGCAGCAAUAUGGAUGGACCUGGAGAUCAUCAUUCUAAGUAAAGUCUCUGAGUCUCCCAAACUUGCUGUAAAGCAGUGGUUUUCAAACUGGUUUUGACCUUGAUGACUGCCCUCCCUUCUCCCCAGAAGUACAGGAAAGAAUGCCUACUUCCCGUCCAUGGAUCUGAUCUAUCAUCUCAGAGGGGACACCACCCUGACCCUGCGGGAUGGAGCCAGGUCAUGUCUCCUGAUCUUUUUCACCCAAAGACCUGCUUGGUCCUACACAUUGCCAUUCCCUGCGUGAAGAAAGCACAUGAGCUCAGAGCUGGAGCCUCCGCUGUGGGGCUCACCUCAUUUCCCUCCCCAUCUGCAUAGGUCAUCUUUGCUUUGAACCAGACCCUCCUGCAGCAGGAGAGCCUGUGAGCAGGCAGCCUUCAGAUCCCUGCACGACAGAGGACCUCGUAUAACACUACAAGUGCGGGGACCUCAGCUCCGUCAUCUUCAGCCAUGAGAGCUCCCAGUCAUCCUCUGGCCCUGCGGGGACCCUUCUGUGAAGAACUCAGGAGGCCCCGACCCACCGCCACCCGCGGCAAUGCUGCCCACCCCGCGCCGGCCUUCCUGCUAGCCCCUGCUCCAUGUCCAGCCCCAGUGGGCACACGGUGACCCUUCCUGCCCCCGCCGCCGUGACGAGGUACCACAGGCCGGGUGGCUUCGACAGUCUCACGGCUCUGGAGGCUAGAAGUCCAAGAUCAAGGUGGCGGCAGAGAGAGAAGAGUAAAAGCCGCGGAUCUGCAGCCUCAUCGCAGUCACCGGCGGCCUGCCUCUACCGCAGUCUUUGUUCCGGAAGUGCCCGCCCCGGAAGUGCCUGCCCAGAAGCGCCGGUACCGGAAGCUGGGAGGUCUGGGCGCUCACUGUUGCCGCCGCACGUGCUGCGGCUCCACGUGUCUGCCAGUAAGUGCCGAUCUGUCAGGCGGGGCGGAACGAAAGUGCCGGAAGAAGCGGAGGUGGCGGCGGAGGCAGCGGCUCCGGCAGUUCAGCGACCUGUGGGUCCGACUGGAGAAGAGGUGCGGACAUCGCUGCAUAAGGAGGUUGUUACCGACAUUACUCAGCUACUCAAGACAGAACUAAGUUGUCGCCUGGGUCCCCGACCCCCGGGGCCCUCCCCCAGUGGGCCACCAGCCGAAUGUGCAACCUCCAGCCGCCCGAGUCACCGUGGAGCACUGAGUAGCCAUGGUCAUAUCAAGUUCAGCCUAAUAAAAUCAGCUCAUGACCUUGCACCCCUCCAUCACUAAAAAAACAGAAGCAAUGAAAACAGAACUUCAGUGAGCUUUCAUCCCCUCAUCUUCCCAUAUGCUCUGGGUUGAGCUGUGAUCAGCCCCUUCGUUGAUGAAUCCAUCCCAUCCCUUCUCGCCUAUUCGAUGACAUUGGUCCAACAAUGCCUAACUGUCUUCAGCACCAUAUAUAUAAUUCUCUUCUCUGAAUCAUUUCCAUCAGCACACGUGUGUGCUGUUUGUGUUUCCCUCUUAAAAAUAUUUGUCUUCACCUCACAUAUCCUUCUAGCUUAUUACCCAUCUCUCGGUGUUCCUUUGGGGCAAACCUCCUUGAAAGAGCUGCGUCUGAUUCCUCCCCCUUCUUCUCUCUUGACCCCUCUUCCCCAUCACUCCACUGAAACAGUUCUUGUCAAGAUCACUGGUAACCUCUACAUUGAGAAAUUUAGUAUCUUCUCUGCCUUAUAAAUUCUGUUUUGCCUUUGUUCAAUGAUCGUCAUUACCAUCCCCUGCAUAUGAGUAAAUUCCUAGUGGGCUUUGAAGCUAAUGUAAGUGCCCUUGAGUUAUUGCUGGACAGUGUGUUACCCCUUUAAAAUUAAGCAAGUCCAGGCAUAGAUCCAGAAAAGACCAAAAACUCUAAUUUGAAAAGAUUCAUGAACCCCAAUGUUCACAGGAGCACUAUUUACAAUAGCCAAGACAUGGAAGCAACCUAAAUAUUCAUUGACAGAGGACUGGAUAAAGAAGAUAUGGUAUAUUUACAAAAAGGAAUAUAAUUCAGCCAUAAAAAGGAAUGAAAUAAUGCCAUUUGCAGCAACACUGAUGGACCUAGAGAUUUAUCAUACUAAGUGAACUGAGUCAGAGAAAGACAAAUAUCGUAUGAUGUCACUUAUAUGUGGAAUCUAAAAGAAUGAUAUACAUGAACUUAUUUACAAACCAGAAACAGAGUCACAGACAUAGAAAAUGAACUUAUGGUCACCAAAGGGGAAAGGUGAGGGGGAGGGGCAAAUUGGGAAUUUGGGAUUAAAAGAUACACAACAAGGACCUACUGUGUAGCACAAUAAACCAUAUACAAUACCUUCUAAUAACCUACAACAGAAAAGAAUCUGAAAAAUAAUACGUAUAUAUAGCUGAGUCACUUUGCUGCACACCCGACACUUUGUAAGUCAGCUGUACUUCAAUAAAGAACAUAAAAUCAAGCAAGUCCAGCUUCUCAGAGAGAUAUCCUGUGACGCCACCGACCUGGACAAACCAGUCAAUGGUGCAGCAGUUCACAAGGGACGGGAACAUCCGGCAUCGGGCCCGGAAGGCCUCGCCGACGGGGCUCAUGCAGAGAACAACGUGCAGCUUCUGACGGACCCUGCUGACGAAGUGCUGGAACACCUGGCGAGAGGGAGGCUGUCUUCAGUAUGAAAUAAGGGUGAAGCCACGAUGAACGUACGUGUUGGCUAAUGCAUCUGACUCGACCAAUGUCAAGUUUUAAAAACUGUUAGUGCAGUAGAUGUGUGAAUUGCUUUGUUUAGCAUCCCAUUCCACCCCCUUCCUCUCAUGCAGGCUGGAAAGAAUAAAUGACAUUUUGUAGACUCCGUGGCAACUAGGGUUUGGGAUGUGAUAGGUUUUCUUCAUCAGUGGAUUUAAGGAGACCCCCUGAAUAAAGGGGACAGAGGCAUUCAUACGAGGUUUUGUGUUGGGAUAGAAAACCACCGGGGGAAAGAGGCAGGGUGCAGGGCAACCCUUUAUGCAGGUGCAGAGCCUGGCAGAAGGGGCAUGGACCUGGAGCCACCAUCUCUGGAUGUGGCUCCUUGCAUCGGCUGCUCCCAACAUGGUGGGAGGCACGUGGCUGUGGAGCCGGCAGCUGAAGCAGCGGCACCACAAUUGGUUCAGCGGCUUCCUGGCUCAGCAGGAAUGGCUGUGGCAGAGGCAGCAGUGUCCCUGACCGUUGACCCCCGACCUCUGCAGUGUCAUUUCAUAUUAAUUCCAAAGGAUUCAGUCUAGAACCCCUAUCUUUGGCCUUCCCAAUGGUGCUGUGCCCCUCGAAUAAAGCCAUUUCUGCUUACACUAGCUGAAGCAGACCCCGCUGUCUGUACCUAUAAGCCCUGACCUCGCAGUGGAGGGAGUUCCCAUGAAAGGACACAGAAGGGAAGACAUGGGAGAGAAUGGCCAAAAAAAGUUAGAGAAGGUGCAGGAAGAAGGGAAAGGCCUAGGGUAGACAAACAGUAGCCCCCAGAAUCUAGCACGGUGUUGGAGAAACGGAAGUGGACAGCAGCUGUGUUUUGUGUGUCUGUGUGUCUGUGUGUGUGUGAGAGAGAGAAAGAAGGAGGGAGACAGAGAAUGGUAAUGCCUUUCAUGAUCUUGCUGAUGGGAAAGGGAGUCAAAAGAACUGAACUCCUUAGGCAGGGCUCUGGGAGUGUGUGAAAUAAAUUUGUGUUUAAAAAGAAUAAGAGAAGCUUUCUAGUUCAGACAGAACUAUGACCUCCGUGGGGGCAGCAGGGUUUCUGUUUUCUGCUUUCCAUAAUCUUUUCUUAAAGUCUGAUGAAUUAACACUUUAAAUGUCAGAGAUUCAAAAACAUACAAUUACAAAGGAAGCAAAUUGUAUUGAAAAAAUUCUAUCUGUGGACCCCUCACAGGGAUCUUUGGACCACUGGAAAAAGGCUAAGACAACUCUUUGUUUUCCAAAGCCAUGUUACCAUCCUGACGUGUCCUACCUCAUCUCUGUUCCCCUCAGAAAUUCCUGCUUCUUUUGCUCUUGGCCUGGUGGCUGCUAAAACCUGCUCCAGUUCAUCCUUUUCAAAUAAAUUAGGCACCUCACCCGAGUUCAGGAUGUUAUUUAUAUCUUCUAGGAACUCUUCCACUACAAUCUACAGAAGAGAGCAGAAGGAUCAUUAUAACUCACCCAGCUAUUUUACAUUCACUGCAUGUAAAUUAUAAAGCACAGAUUUGAUCUAAAAUUCACACUGAGUUAAUUUUAUCUUUAAGCGACGAUAACCUUGAGGGAGAAGCCAAGAUGUCUCAUGUAGGAUGACCCUGAGCUCACCUCUGCCCACAGCACACCUAAAUUACAACUAUUUACAGAGCAAAGGACUAAGUAAAGUGGAGCUUCAGAGGAUUCAGGAUUAAGCAACCAGUAAAUUAAAUCAGGUGGUUUAAUUUAAAUAUAAAAAAUAUAUAAAGAAGAACCAAACAGAACUGAAGAAUACAAUAACUGAAAUAAAAACUUCACUAGAAGGAAGCUACAGUAGAUUAGCUGAUACAGAGGAAUGGAACAGCAAAGACAGAGUGAUGGAAGUCACCUAAGCUGAACAGAAAAAAAUUUUUUUUAAAAAUGAGGAUAGUUUAAGAGACUUCUGGGACAACUUUGAGAGUACUAACUUUUACAUUACAGGGGUCCCAGAGGAGAAGAGAGAGAGAAAGGAGCAGAUAAUUUAUUUGAAGAAAUAAUAGGUGAAAAUUUCCUUAACCUGGGAAAGGAAACAGACAUUCGUGUCUAGGGAGCACAGAGAGUCCCAAACAGGAUCAGCGCAAACAGGAUAUAUAAUUCUUGGAGGUAAUAUAUAUAAAAUACAUAUAACGCAUUCCACCCAAGACAGCAGAAUACACAUUUUGUUUUCCAAGUGCACAUGGAUCACUCUUCAGGAUAGAGCAUAUGCUAGGCCACAAAACAAUUCUCAAUAAAUUUAAGGAGGCUGAAAUCAUAUAAGGCAACUUUUCCAACCAUAAUGCUAUGAGACGAGAAAUCAACUACAAGGAAAAAACACUGCAAAAACACAAACAUGUGGAGGCUAAAUAAUAUGUUCCUAAACAACCAAUGGGUCACUGCAUAAAUCAAAAAGGAAAUAAGAAACAUCUGGAGAUAAAUGAAAAUAAAAACAUGAUCCAUAAUCUAUGGGAUGUAGCAAAAGCAGUUCUGAGAGCAAAAUUUACUAUAUGAUACAAGCCUACCUCAAGAAACAUGAAAAAUCUCAAGUAAACCAUGUAACCUUACAUCUAAAGGAACUAGAAUAAGAACAAACAAAACCCAAAGUUAGUGGAAGGAAAGAAAUAAUCAAGAUCAUAGCAGAAAUAAAUGAAACAGAGACUAAAACACAAUACAAAAGAUUAUGAAACUAAGAGCUGGUUCUUUGAAAACAAACAAACAAAAAUUGAUAAAACUUUAGCCAGACUCAUCAAGAAAAAAAGAGAGAGGGUACAAAUAAAUAAAAUCAGAAAUGAAAGAGAAGUUACAACUGACAUCACAGAAAUACAAAGGAUCAUAGGAGAUUACUAUGAACAAUUACAUGCCAAUAAAAUGGACAUCCUAGAAGAAAUGGGUAAAUUCCUUGAAGCAUGCAAUCUCCCAAGACUGAAUCAGAAAGAAAUAGAAAAUAUGAACAGAUAAAUUACCAGUAAUGAAAUUUAAUCAGUAAUUAAAAACUCCCAACAAACAGAAGUCGAAGGCCAGAUGGCUUUACAGGUGAAUUCUACCAACAUUUAAAGAAGAGUUAAUGCCUAUCCUUCUCAAACUAUCCCAAAAAGUUGAAGAGGAAGGACUGCUUUCAAACUCAUUCUAUGAGGUCAGUAUCACCCUGACACCAAAACCAAAGACAUCACACAAAAUAAUUACAGGUGAUAUCACUGAUGAAGAUAGAUGAAAAAAAUCCUCAACAAAAUAUUAGCAAACUGAAUUCAACAGUACAUUAAAAAAGAUCAUACUCCAUGAUCAAGUGGGAUUUAUCCUAGGGAUGUAAGGAUGGUUCAAUGUCCACAAAUAAAUCAAUGUGAUACACCACAUUACCAAAUUGAAAAACAAAAAUUAUAUGAUCCUUUCCGCAGAUGCAGAAAAAGCUUUUGACAAAAUUUAACAUCUAUUUAUGAUAAAAACUCUCAACAAAGUGGGUAUAGAGGAAACAUACCUCAACAUAAUAAAGGCCAUUAUGACUAGGCCAGCGCUAACAUCAUACUCCAAGAGAAGCUGAAAGUGUUUCCUCUAAGAUUAGUAAUAAGAUAAGGGUGCCCACACUUGCUACUUUUCUUCAACAUAAUACUGGAAGUCCUAAACACAGCAAUCAGACAAGAAAAAGAAAAGGAAUCCAAAUUGGAAAGGAAGAAGCAAAACUGUCACUUUUUGCAGAUGACAUCAUACUAUACAUAGAAAAAUCCUAAAGAUGCACUAAAAAUCUAUUAGAAUACACCAAUGAAAUUCAGCAAAGUUGCAGGAUACAAAAUUAAUAUACAGAAAUCUGUUGUAUUUCUAUAGACUGACAACAUACUAUCAGAAAAAGAAAUUAUGAAAACAAUCCAUUUACAAUUAUGUCAAAAAUAAUAAAAUACCUAGGAAUAAAUAUAAUUAAGGAAGUAAAAUACUUGAACUAGGAAAACUAUAAGACACUGAGGAAAGAAACUGAAGACGGUACAAACAAAUGGAAAGAUAUACUAUAUUCAUGGAUCGGAAGAAUUAAUAUUGUUAAAAUUACCGUAGUACCCAAGUCGAUCUGCAGAUUCAAUGCAAUUCCUAUCCAAAUACCAAUGGCAUUUUUCACAGAACUUUAACAAACAAUUCUAAAAUUUGUAUGGAAACACAGAAGAUCCUGAAUAGCCAAAAUAAUUUUGAGAAAGAAGAACAAAGCUGGAGGUAUCAUGCUUCCUGAGUUCAAACUACAUUACAAAGGUAUAGUAAUCAAAUAGUAUGGUAUUGGCACAAAAACAGACUCAUAGAUCAAUGGAACAGAAUAGAGAAUCCAGAAAUAACACUUAUAUGAGCAAUUAAUCUACAACAAAGGAGACAAGAAUACACAGUGCAAAAAAGACACUUCAGUCUCCCCAAGUUCCCUGACUGGACACUGCCACAGGCUUUGCCCUGUGGACAAUCUACUCUGUCUGCCAAACUUUCCACUUGAGCAUUGCUGGGCUACACAGAUUACCAGAUGUUCUGGCCAGGCUUUCUAGCUGGAUGGGGCCAGGAGGUUCACUCAGCAGUAAGCAUGGUAAGGCUCAGCUCCCCUGCCUGGGUGGAUCGGGGGGAGGACCAGGCUCCAGGGCUGGCAAGGCUCUUCAUGUGAGGACCUCAGUCAGAUGGACCAGCAUCCUACUGAGUUCCCCUGUCAGACUGUGCCACCGUCCUGGCUCUGCAGAAGAGCAGAGCUGCUGGCUGGGACCCCUGCUUGGGCGCUGCAGGUAAGGACUUGGUCUGUCACGAUCUGAGUGCUGGUUGUUACACCUCCAUGACUUCCUUGUUGCAAUCGAGUUCCCAGAGGUUCGAGUGCUGCAGAUUCCCGUACCCUCCCUGUGAUGCGAGACCAGAAAGAGACUCCCAAGAUGCAGCCCACAACACCGCGGGGCUGGACGUCCCACCUGGGCAUCCUUCCCCCUGGAGGAACCACAGGCUCAGGACAGACCUCGUGAUACGGUGCUGCACUGGCCUGGGGGAAGGCAAUGUGGUUGGUGUGCAACUGCUCCUCUUACCCUUCCAGUGUGGUCUGUCUUGGUCUCUGUGGUGCAGGGGUUUGCUUCAGCCUUACCCCCAUGCUCUAGGAUUUUCUCAGCGGUGUCUUGUCCACGAAUAGUUGUUAGUUGUUCUUGUGAAGGGGAGUGAAGUUGGGACUGACCUAUAUCGCCAUCUUGGUGACGUCACUCUCCGUCAUUUUGUUUUUGCAUUAUUUUCUUGAUGGCAUGAAAUUGUUGAUCUGUGUUCUCUUAUAGCUGCCUGAGAAUAAUUAUUUUGAAUUCUUUGUGGAGCAAUUUGUGGAUCUCCAUUUCUGGGGGCCACUUUCUGGAGGUUUACUGUAUUUCUUUGGCGGAGUCACGGUUCCCCAAUUCUUCAUCAUCCCUACAGACACACGUAAGUGUCUAUAUCUUCCAGACUUUAUGGAGUGACUUUGGUUUUCCCUGCGGGUGGGAGCAGGCUGGAGCCUACUGGGACCCCAGGUCUAGUGGUGCAGGACAUCACGUGUUGGGGGCACACGUGGUGUGGGGCAGUUUACCUCUCUUUGGCUCAGGCCACUGGGGUCCACAGUGAUCAACAACUGUGUGUCCCCAGGGUCUGCAUUGGCUGCAAAGGGUGUUGGCGUCCCCAGCAGCGUCUCCAGGUGCCAGCAGCGAUGGGGCCGGAGUUAGUGGUGGGCACACACUCAGCUGCGUGAUCCUUUUUCAUUUGUAAAACAUAUUUACAUAUUCAGAUAUAAACUCACUGCAUGUCACAGCUGUUAAACGUAUUUUUCCCAUUUUAUGAUUGCACUUAAUCAUGUUUAUGGUGUUUUCAAAAUUAAAAUGGACUUUAAAAUA